GUCACUUUGCCGGAGUGGUUAACGGGAUCGCCUGCUAAAUAAGCAUUUGUAAGCGGUUGGGCUUUGCCCGCGUGUGUUCGAAUCGCACAGGUGACG